GAUGAAGAACGUAGCGAAAUGCGAUAAGUAGUGUGAAUUGCAGAAUUCAGUGAAUCAUCGAAUCUUUGAACGCACAUUGCGCCCCUUGGUAUUCCAUGGGGCAUGCCUGUUCGAGCGUCAUUUGUACCUUCAAGCUCUGCUUGGUGUUGGGUGUUUGUCUCGCCUCUGCGUGUAGACUCGCCUCAAAACAAUUGGCAGCCGGCGUAUUGAUUUCGGAGCGCAGUACAUCUCGCGCUUUGCACUCAUAACGACGACGUCCAAAAGUACAUUUUUACACUCUUGACCUCGGAUCAGGUAGGGAUACCCGCUGAACUUAAGCAUAUCAAAAGCGGAGGA
rnacentral:misc_RNA from 1 species